AAAAAAAAAAAUAGAAAAGAAAAGAAAAAGGAAAAAGAAAGAAAGAAAAUGACUGGAGGAGCUGAGUCGAAACACUGAUAUGAAAUGGGUAUGGAAUUAUGAAGGUUAACCAUUUGGGGUUUUAUUUAAUGCUUUUCUGUUUUUUCUCCAAUGGGCAAAUUUCACUUUUACAAUCGGGAAAAACAAAUUCAAGUUAAAGACAGGUGGAGUUCCUCUGUGGCUCAGCAGGUAAGGACCCAGCCUUGUCACCCCUGUGGCAUGGAUUUGAUCCUUGGCCCGGGAACUUCCACAUGCCAUGAGCAUGGCCAAAAAGACAAAAGGGGGCAAAAAAGAAAAGAAAGAAAAAAAGAAAAGGACACUUGUGCAUGUGUCUCAGCCCAGGCCAGGGAUGGCUUGUGAGCUCCCUUGCUGUAGCGUUCUCAGGGACAGUGACAAUGAACCCUGUGGUCUUUGAGGGGUACAUGAAAACCUGCAGAGCUGUUCUCUGCUGGAGAACCUCCUUCCAGAGCUCUUUCCUGCGAAAACGUGGAGGGUUUCUGUUUCCCUUCCAGUUCCUGGCAGAGUGCUAAAAGGAUCCUGCCCAGCUCGCUACUCAGAUGGGCAUCCUGGUCACCUCAAGCCCAUAAUAUCCCCAGACAAGUAACCAGCCCCUGCCUCCAAGGCAGCUCACUGAAAAAGGUCAGUUUUCAGUGGCUGGUCUUUCCACUUCCUGUUUCUCUUGGCUGAAGACUUUGAAGGCAGGGUGGGUAACUCUGACUUCCAUGGAAUCCUCUGUCCGAAGAGCCAGAAAGCCCAUCUCGUUGGCGUUUCUUGUGAAGGAUGUCUCAUGUCCACUGCCCUUUGUCUGGUUCCGUCUGUCCCCCCUCCCGCCUCCAGCAUCAUGCAUUGUCUCAGUUUAUUGCAUAUAACUUUUUUUUUGCAUACAGCCCAUGUGAGUUGAUUCGCCUCUGCAGCUCCUCCCCUUUGGAGGCACUUUGUUGUUGUUGUUUGUUUUUUUUUUUAAGGACCGCACCUCCAGCAUAUGGAAGUUCCCAGGCUAGGGGUAGAAUCAGAACUACAGCUGCCAGCCUACACCACAGCCACAGCAAUGCAGGAUCUGAGCCAUGUCUGUGACCUACAGCACAGCUCACAGCAAUGCCAGAUCCUUAACCCACUGAGCAAGGCCAGGGAUCGAACCCACAUUCUCAUGGGUACUUGUCAGGUUCAUUACCGCUGAGCCACAAUGGAAACUCCAUUUUUUCAUUUUUAUAAAAAAUUAAAGUAUAGUUGAUUUACAGUGUUGUACCAAUUUCUGCUAUACAGCAAAGUGACCCAGUCAUACAUAGAUAUACAUUCUGUUUCUUGUAUUACAUUAAUCCUGGUUUAUCCCAAGAGAUUGGUGGCAGCUUUAAAAUUGUGUAAUUUGUGAUUUAUUUUCUGGUUCUAAAUAAAUGCAUUUGGGAAUACCUGGUGAUCUAGUGGUUAGGACUUAGUGCUUUCGCUACUGUGUCCUGGGUCCCUCUCUGGUCUGGGAACUGAGAUUCCACAUCAAACAUACCAUGGCCAAAAAUAAACA
rnacentral:lncRNA from 1 species